GCCACACUGUCUUCCACAAUGGUUGAACUAGUUUACAGUCCCACCAACAGUGUAAAGGUGUUCCUUGACUUCUAAUACUAUAGAUAAGCUUUGCUGCUUUGGAACUUGAAAAAAAUUUUUAGCUACUCUGCUAUUCAUAGACAUUUGUGUAAUGGUUUCAGCUUUGGGCUGUGUGAAUGGUGCUGCUACAGUCAAUCUAACAGAUUUCAUUUUGGUGAACAUGUGCACACAUUUCUUUUAGGUUUAUAAGAGUGCAAUUACUGUGUCAUAGGUUGUAAAUAUUAAGAGCUCUAAUAGAGACUACUAAACAGAUUUCUGAAGUCAUCAUAUCACUUUAUAUGCCUAGCAGCAAUAUAUAAGAAGAAUCAAUCACUUUGAAAAGUUUUUACUUCUGGUAGCUCACUUCUGUAAAUAGUAUCUGUCUAUCUUAAAAAGCUUUAAAAUAAUAAACUUGUUCUGUUCACUUACCCUGCACCCCAGCUUAUCUUUCUUCACCUUCCUCAAAAAACUAAUGGUUAAAUUAUGUUUGCUUGGUUAUAUUUGUAAAUUAACAAUCUUUUAUGUCUUCUUGCUUUGUCAACUUAAUAAGCAGUUUUCCUUCUCUCUCUGUUACAUGUAAAUACAAGUUAUUCUCUAUAUUCGUUUGUUAAUUUCCAUUGCCUAUAUUUUUAAAUCCCUUUUUUAAAUUUUGAAAUAAUGUUAGAUUUACAGAAACACUGCAAAGAUAGUACAGUUUUCCCUAUUAACAUAUUAUAUAACCAUGAUACCUUUGUCAAAACUAAAAACCAACAUUGGUACAUUACUGUCAACUGCAGACUUUAUUGUAUUUCACCAGGUUUUUCUGCUAUGUACCCCUUCUGUUCUCUUCCAGGUUCCAAUCCAGGAUACUACAAUUCACUUAGCCACCGUAUUUCCUGAUUUUCCUCUGGUCUAUGACAGUUUCUCAGUCUUUCCUUGUUUUCAAUGACCUUAAUGGUUUUCAGUCCCCCAGGGUUUCCACCCCCUAAUCUACUGCAUAUAGUCACUUCCCACUGGGUGUGGGCUGGACAUGUGAAUGUGAUGGGAUAGCCUCCAGGAGCCACUCUCACGUUAUUGGCUACUCUAACCUUAGGUCAUUCUGGGCUUCUACUGGGAAGGCUGGCUUUUACUUCCACUUAGGUUCCCCCAUGGUAUUACUUUUUCAUCAACAUACUUCCAUGUACUUUCAGACUUUGAGAAACGUGUGAAAGACUCUGAUCUCCCCACGUACAUCCACACUUCUGAGUUUAUUCAUUUUUGUGUUCCCUUAUUGCUUCAGGAAGGAGGAGGAGAGGUAAGCAUAUGUGCACAUUUUAAAACUAGCAACAAAGAGCUCCCUUUCAAAUCAUAACUUGCCACUGCCAAUUCCAGGCUAACUCGUUAGCCUCAUGCCUUUGUAGUUCUUUUUCUGUUAUACCCAUCUAUAGCCAAUGUUCUUAUAUGUGUAUGUUUUGCAGUGGUAGUAGUUACAGGACCAGGUUUUAAGCCUGGCUCUGGAAUUAUCUGAUAUAUUGCUUUAGGGGAGUUGCUUAAAAUGUGUGCCUCGGCCAGGACAUAAUUAAGAUUAUUACUGUUGUCUACUUCACAGAGUAAUCUGAGAAUGACUUCAUGCAUUUUCACUGCCAUUGCAUUUCUAAAACUGUCUUAUGAUUUUAAAAUAAGCUUCUCUGUCAUAAAAACCGUAAUCAGACACAGAAGAAUGCCAGAAGGCAGAGGUAAACUGAGUUCACCUUCCAAUGUUCCAUCAACACAUCUUGAAAAUUCUUCAUCAUUCUCACUGAUCCUUUAUUCCUGUUUUGCCGUCCUCCUUUGUGAUUAGAAGAUUUUCUCUAAUGUGAGAGAAUGUUCAGGAGAGAAAAUCAGAAAUCUACAUUUGAAAAGUAUCCCACUAACAGAAGUUGAUCCAAGACAGAGAAGAAGAUACAUGGAGCUUAUUUGGGAGGUGCACUGAUAAAAGAUUGCAGACAUGAAAAAAGGGAAGAGAAGAAACUCUUUUCAAGGUUUCAGAAGAAACUACCUUAAUGAAGAAACAGAAGGGAAAGACGUGAAAACCUCCAGAGUUCUUCAGAAAGGCUUCCUUUGCAUAGAAUCGUUCAUCAAUUUCAACAGUAACAGAAAGUAACGGAAACGUGAUCUGAAUGAGUAGCUGAAAAUUGAGUAGUAACUUAACACUCCAUUGAAGUUUUUCAUCAGAUAUGGGGCACAGCUUGACCCUCGUAUUAUAAAUAUUUAAAUGCUUUGGAUAUUUUGCCAAAGUUUAAGCAUUUCUUCCCAAAGGAACAGUGGUGAUAUAAUGUGAGUCAUGCUAAAGUACUUAACCAUCAGUGGGCAGAUUUUGUGGCAUGAAUUUUUGUAAUGAUUUUAAGUAAGACCCGGUAUAUUCACAAAUAUCCAAAACUUUAUUUAGAACUGUAUGGGAAGCUAUUCUAUCUAAAAGCUCAUUCUUAUUAAAAGUAUUUUUUCAGGAAAUAAAAUGAUGUUAAACCUGGAAGUCUCCAGCAAAGAGACUGAUUUUUUUUUAGAUGCUCCCAACUCAGUAAAUUUUGCUUUCCUAUUUUCUUAUUUUUGUACGUAUGCCACUGAUGUCUAGCUUAUACACUUCUGUUAUAUUUACAGCUGUUUACAACCAUUGAACCAAAAGUUCUAUACCUGUUGAAUGUCUAAAAGUAGAGAAAAUUAAUUGAAAAGCAAUAGGUUAAGAAUCAACCUGUGGUCCCAAGAAAAAGAAGUAAAAUCCUAUAAAAUUCUUAAAGCAUUUCCUCUAUAAAUAUUUGAAAGUUAUUUAAUCUUUUGGUCUUUAUAGUGCCUGGAUUGACAUUCUGCAUUAACUAUGGAAUCAUUUUUAUAAGGAAUAUUUUGUGAUUUGUAUAAGAAAAAGUAUUUCUCAAUGGCAUAGGAAGAGCUUUGCUAACUCUUAGAAGAAAGAGGGAAGAGAAGAGGGAAGGAAACAAGUAAAACGAACUGGUGGUACAUCGUGUAUUAAGAGAUAAUACAAGGAUAUCAUACUAUAAUGUUUUCAGACAAAAAUUAUGGACAGGCUAAUUCGUGAAAUAAGAUGAAGACCUAAAAGGUAGCAAUGAUCCUAUACACUAUACUCUGUAACAGUUGUUUUCAAACUGCUUUUUAAACAUAAAAACAAUUUUAAAUCCACUAUUUUAGCACAUUCUGGUCUUAUAUAGUAAUUACAUGGCUAUAUUUUUCCAGUGUGACAUAUUUAAAAUACAUAUCAUUAAAUUUCUGGUUAAUCUUAAACAUGGAAAUAAAGUACGAAAUUUCUAGUUGUUGAAGUAUGUUUAAAAUAAAAUAUAUUAAAAUAUCA
rnacentral:lncRNA from 1 species